GGGGUUGUGGCUCAGUGGUUGAGAGCUUGCCUACCACGGGGCGAGGCCCUGGGUUCCAUCCCCAACACCACA
rnacentral:tRNA from 1 species